rnacentral:tRNA from 1 species
GCCGGGGUGGCGGAAUGGUAGACGCGGUGGUCUCAAACACCAUUGAUGUAAAAGUCGUGUGGGUUCGAGUCCCACCCCCGGCACCA